rnacentral:lncRNA from 1 species
GCUGAGGAAGUUGCCUCUCUCUGGCGCCUGCAUUCAAUGAACGUUUGUAAUGUUAGCAGGUGUGUGGGUGAGUGCUCCCUGUGAUGGAACGGUGUCCUGUUCAGGACUGGGUGCCACCUGGCACCUUGAGCUGCCAGGACCGGCUCGGGCUGCUCGCGAUCCCAAACUAGAACAAAUGGGUGGCCACCCUCCUGUUGCCGCUUCACAUGGUCUUUCCUCUGUGCGUGCGCAGCUCUGGUGUCCCUCUCCAUGUCCUAAUCUCUUCUCAAAAGGACACCAGUCAUACCUCACUUUACCUUCGUCACCUCACCUUAUCUCCAAGUACAGUCACAUUCUCAGGUCCUGGGAAUGAGGAUUUCAGCAUGUAAAUUUUGCGGAGACACACGUCAGCUCCUAACAAAAUGUUCAGUUGUCUAGCUCACAGGGAUAUCCACAAGCCAGACCCAGAAAGCCUUUGCUACCAUUGAUGAAGAUGCCAAGUCCACAGCCCAACAGCCAGAAGACCCUUGGUCUAGCCCUUGGAUUCAGACUGAAUUGAUAUCGCCAGGUUUCCUGUCUUUUCAGCUUGCAGGCAGCUGAUUGUGGGACUUCUCAGCCUCCUUAAUCAUGACUAGUGGCCUUGUGAGAAGAGAGAGCAACACCAGCAAUGCACAUGCAAAGAGGAAAGGCCCUGCAAGGAUGCUAAGAACGAGGACGGCCAUCCGCCCACCAAGGAGAGAAGUAUCAGGAGGAACAAACCGGCCAACACCUUGAUCUUGGACUUCCAGCCUCCAGAACUGUCCGCAGCUUGGGCUACCUUCCAGCAUAAAGUCACUAAAGAUGUGCCGGGCAUGAUGAAGGAAGAAAGCGACUACAUGCUGAAGGAGAUGGUGCGGGGACUCGCUAGUACCUAUUGGCAGGACCUGGGGAACUUUGGUGGGUGCUUGAUAAUGGGGACUGGAAUAAAAACUGGCUAAGCAAAA